GAUGAACGCUAGCUACAGGCUUAACACAUGCAAGUCGAGGGGCAGCAUGAACAUAGCUUGCUAUGUUUGAUGGCGACCGGCGCACGGGUGCGUAACACGUAUCCAAUCUGCCCGUCACUCGGGGAUAGCCUUCUGAAAGGAAGAUUAAUACCCCGAUGGGAUGCAUUUCCGGCAUCGGAGAUGCAUUAAAGAUUUUAUCGGUGACGGAUGAGGAUGCGUACGAUUAGCUUGUUGGCGGGGUAACGGCCCACCAAGGCAACGAUCGUUAGGGGUUCUGAGAGGAACGGUCCCCCACACUGGAACUGGGACACGGUCCAGACUCCUACGGGAGGCAGCAGUGAGGAAUAUUGGU
rnacentral:rRNA from 1 species